GACGAACGCUGGCGGCGUGCCUAAUACAUGCAAGUCGAGCGAUGAAGAUUGGUGCUUGCACCAAUUUGAAGAGCAGCGAACGGGUGAGUAACGCGUGGAGAAUCUGCCUUUGAGCGGGGGACAACAUUUGGAAACGAAUGCUAAUACCGCAUAACAACUUUAAACAUAAGUUUUAAGUUUGAAAGAUGCAAUUGCAUCACUCAAAGAUGAUCCCGCGUUGUAUUAGCUAGUUGGUUAGGUAAAGGCCAAACAAGGCGAUGAUACAUAACCGACCUGGGGAGGUGGAUCGCCAAAACUGGACUGGGAAACGGGCCCAACUUCUACGGGGGGCAGCAGUAGGGGAUCCUCGGCCAAGGAGCAAAGGCCGGACGGGCCAACGCCGGUGGGUGGAGGAGGUUUUCCGGUUCUUAAACCCUGUUUGUUGAGAAGAACGAUGGGUGUAGGUGAAAGCUCAUGAAGUGACGGUAACUACCCAGAAAGCGACGGCUAACUACGUG
rnacentral:rRNA from 1 species